AACGCAUAUUGCGCCUGCGCCUCGGCAAAGGCAUGUCUGCCUCAGCGUCGGUUUACCCCCUCCAAUCUCCCUCUUCUUUGCGGGACAGAUUGGGAUGUGACCUCCCCUUUCUCUGGGUUGGUUGAAACCGAUGCCCGUGCCCACCAUCCAAACGAAGGCACAGAAAGGUAGGCCGCUCAAUCAAGCGGCACUGCCCCUGUGAUCUUCGGGUGAGUGCUCGGGUGACACAGGAAUGCUUCUUCUCUUCCUUUCACAAGGAAGGAAGGAGAUCAUCAAACAUCUGACCUGAGCUCAGGCAAGACCACCCGCUGAACUUAA
rnacentral:misc_RNA from 1 species